CGCGGUGGGGGCAGCUACACAUGCAAGUCGAGCGGAACGAGUUAUCUGAACCUUCGGGGAACGAUAACGGCGUCGAGCGGCGGACGGGUGAGUAAUGCCUAGGAAAUUGCCCUGAUGUGGGGGAUAACCAUUGGAAACGAUGGCUAAUACCGCAUAAUGCCUACGGGCCAAAGAGGGGGACCUUCGGGCCUCUCGCGUCAGGAUAUGCCUAGGUGGGAUUAGCUAGUUGGUGAGGUAAUGGCUCACCAAGGCGACGAUCCCUAGCUGGUCUGAGAGGAUGAUCAGCCACACUGGAACUGAGACACGGUCCAGACUCCUACGGGAGGCAGCAGUGGGGAAUAUUGCACAAUGGGCGCAAGCCUGAUGCAGCCAUGCCGCGUGUGUGAAGAAGGCCUUCGGGUUGUAAAGCACUUUCAGUCGUGAGGAAGGUAGUGUAGUUAAUAGCUGCAUUAUUUGACGUUAGCGACAGAAGAAGCACCGGCUAACUCCGUGCCAGCAGCCGCGGUAAUACGGAGGGUGCGAGCGUUAAUCGGAAUUACUGGGCGUAAAGCGCAUGCAGGUGGUUUGUUAAGUCAGAUGUGAAAGCCCGGGGCUCAACCUCGGAAUAGCAUUUGAAACUGGCAGACUAGAGUACUGUAGAGGGGGGUAGAAUUUCAGGUGUAGCGGUGAAAUGCGUAGAGAUCUGAAGGAAUACCGGUGGCGAAGGCGGCCCCCUGGACAGAUACUGACACUCAGAUGCGAAAGCGUGGGGAGCAAACAGGAUUAGAUACCCUGGUAGUCCACGCCGUAAACGAUGUCUACUUGGAGGUUGUGGCCUUGAGCCGUGGCUUUCGGAGCUAACGCGUUAAGUAGACCGCCUGGGGAGUACGGUCGCAAGAUUAAAACUCAAAUGAAUUGACGGGGGCCCGCACAAGCGGUGGAGCAUGUGGUUUAAUUCGAUGCAACGCGAAGAACCUUACCUACUCUUGACAUCCAGAGAACUUUCCAAAAAUGGAUUGGUG
rnacentral:rRNA from 1 species